UACAGAGGUCCCAAGCGUUGUUCGGAUUCACUGGGCGUAAAGGGUGCGUAGGCGGUUUGAUAAGUCUGAUGUGAAAUCCCGCAGCUUAACUGCGGAACUGCAUUGGAAACUAUCUCACUAGAGGAAUGGAGGGGAGAGUGGAAUUCCCGGUGUAGCGGUGAAAUGCGCAGAUAUCGGGAAGAACACCCGUGGCGAAGGCGGCUCUCUGGGACGGUACUGACGCUGAGACGCGAAAGCGUGGGGAGCGAACAGG
rnacentral:rRNA from 1 species